rnacentral:rRNA from 1 species
UACGUAGGGGGCAAGCGUUGUCCGGAAUCAUUGGGCGUAAAGAGCGUGUAGGCGGCUCGAUAAGUCUGCUGUGAAAGUCCAGGGCUCAACCCUGGAAGGCCGGUGGAAACUGUCGGGCUAGAGUCCGGAAGAGGCGAGUGGAAUUCCCGGUGUAGAGGUGAAAUUCGUAGAUAUCGGGAGGAAUACCAGUGGCGAAGGCGCUGGGCUGGACGGUCAUUGACGCUGAGGUGCGAAAGCGUGGGGAGCAAACAGG